rnacentral:rRNA from 1 species
GAUGAACGCUGGCGGCAUGCCUAACACAUGCAAGUCGAACGAAGCGAUCUGGAUUGAGACUUCGGUUGAUUGAAAGAUUGACUUAGUGGCGGACGGGUGAGUAACGCGUGAGUAAUCUGCCUUAGAGUGGGGGAUAACGCUCCGAAAGGAACGCUAAUACCGCAUAACAUAUUGAGAUCGCAUGAUUUUGAUAUCAAAGAUUUAUUGCUUUAAGAUGAGCUCGCGUAUGAUUAGCUAGUUGGUGAGGUAACGGCUCACCAAGGCGACGAUCAUUAGCCGGACUGAGAGGUUGAACGGCCACAUUGGGACUGAGACACGGCCCAGACUCCUACGGGAGGCAGCAGUGGGGAAUAUUGCACAAUGGGGGAAACCCUGAUGCAGCAACGCCGCGUGAAGGAAGAAGGCCUUCGGGUCGUAAACUUCUGUCCUUGGGGAAGAAACAAAUGACGGUACCCUUGGAGGAAGCCCCGGCUAACUACGUGCCAGCCGCCGCCGUAAAAC